UAUUUUUUAAUAAAUAAUAGAGAAUAAGCAGGAGAGGGAGACAGUGAGGGUCCAUUAUCGGAUAGGAUUCCAUUUCCUCUGCCAAAACUUUUGUCCACAUCCUAUGUCAGGAAUCUCAUCAUACCCACCAUUUUGAUUCCACUUUUGCAUCAUUAUUUAAUAAACAUAUUGAGAGACUCUCUUUUACCUUUGUCCACCUUUCUUGUAUUGUAAUUACAAGUUAUACCACCAACUACCCCCAUUCAACCUCAACUCAAAAGGCUUCCUUCCUUGUGAAUUGUGAGACAUGAACAUUGAAGAAGAAAAUAAUUAAGCUUUCUUCAGAGAGGGGAAAAGGGAGAUAAAAUUGGGGGAAGACAUGGGUAUGGGGGGAUUGGGAAGGAAUAUUCAUAAGCAAAAUAUGUUAUUUCUUCCCUACACCUCCCAUACCACUGUUUUUCCUCUAUUUCUCCCCCUUCCCUUGCUUUCUGCUGCCUUUCCACAUCUCAACCUUCCUUCUCAUCUCAUAAUCGUAAUGUAACAACCAUACAUAUGUUGAAGAGUAUGCGUAGUAUUGUAUUCAAUUUGACCAUCUAUGUUCUAUUAGCAUAUGCCAAUUGUUCUAAACCUUUGAAGUUUAGAGUUUAGAUCUCUCUCUUGGAGCAACAAAUCUGGUAUUGUCACUUUCUGAUAAUAAAGUUUUGUUGAAUUUCUUUUAAUUCAAAGUUUGACUAAUUAUCGGAUUAAUUUUCACCACACAAUUAUUUUUUGAUCCAACUUCUGAACAAUUGAAUCAACUGGCCCUAUUACGUUUUGACUAAUCUUUUAUUAGACUGUUUGGAUCUUUUGGACCGGGCCCAUUAAGGACAAUUGUUAGGCAAAUGAUAAUUAUACCUGAAUUAAAAUUCAAACAAAAGCCAAACCAACCGGAGGAGUUACAAAAACCCAAACUCUAAUAUGGUUACAAGCAGAACUAGCAGCUAAUAGUGCACUUGAAUAAUUGCAGCACCACGUUGUUGAGCAUUGGUUAUGAAUUUCCCCAUUCUACCUUGAUAAUGAAAAUUGCAACAAUACUUCAAUAAGAACAAAAUAAUAAUUUUCUAAAGCCAUAACUCAUAAUUUACAAUAUUCAUCGUGUACCAAGCAUCAUCAGCAUUAUGACAUUCUUUACAUAAAAAACCUGAACGCUCAGUCUCAUAAAUUAGGCCUAGAUGGAGCAAAUUCAUUCAAUCUUAAAUGGGGUUUGAGUGGGAGUGGCAUGGGAGGGGUUUGAGUAACGGAGCUAUAGAGGAGGAGGUGAGUAGCAGAGAAAUGGGGUAAGCCAAAAAAAAUGAAAAACUGUCUCUGAAAAGUUAAAUUGAAAUUGGGAAUGAAUUAAAAGGGUAUUUAGGAGAAAAUAUUGAUA